rnacentral:lncRNA from 1 species
AAAAAAGAAAAUGAAAAAGAAUAAAAUCCCAUUAUUACUUCAUAAAUAAUUAUGAACCAGUAUUUCAUAGAGAUGUGUCAGCAAAUUAUAAGCUUAUUAUUCCAAUGGGUGGGAUGAAUAUAAGUACUCAAGAGGUGUAGCUAAAGUUUAGAGUCUUUAUUUUAUUGAAGAGACAUAUUGGUCCAAAAUAGCUACUUUCAAAUAAAAUUGAUCAUUUUUUAAUUCAUCUGUUGUGACGAUCCAUUUUGAUACUUAAAGUGUAAUUUGACGCACCCAGCAAGCGUGAAUACAAUAAUUUGUUGAUGGAAACUCAAUUUAAAAAAAAAUCAUUGUAGCCUGUUUUGUGUUGACGACCCAUAUAUAUCUGAAAAUUGAAUAGCGGUCUCUAGCCACUUUCUACUACCCUGAGAAAAUAAAAUAGGGUCUAGCUUAGCUUUUUUUGUCGAUUUGGCCGGCGAAACAUCGGCUUUUAAAAAGAAAAGGAAAAAUAUGUGAAAACCAUAUGGCAACUAUGUUGUAAAUUACCAAGGUACCUAUGGCAGGCAAGAAAAGAAGUAGCGCCCUUUUAUAAAGAUUUUGCUAUGGCGCUUCUUCAUCAAGCCAAAUACGAAGAGUUAGCUGUUUUAAGGCACUAAGAACCAAUCACAGACGCAAAGAACUGAAGGAUAAAAUCAAAACCAAUGAAUAUGAAUCCUAAUGCAAUCUGGAGAAGCACAAGUCUUAAUCACGCAACCUGUUGUAGUAAAGUUUGAACUCAUUUUACUACAUAUGUGAUGUAAACCUUUUAACUAUUUAAUGGGCAGACAAGACUCGAGAGGAUGAAUCUUCCCUGCGAAGCAAACCAUUAGAAUAUUACAUUGAUGUGUCCAACCUUCGGAUCCAUUCCUGCUUCAGGGAUCUCGUCCCUUUGAAAGAAGUUAUCAUGCUUCACUCAAUGGAUCCCAUCUCUUUUAAUGGAAGGACAGAUAUUAACCAUUAAUUCCUUGAGCAGAUACUCUUUCAACUUGAACAAGUUCUUUGACAGUGACUUCGAACUCCUGAUGUCAAGAAUACGCUUUUACAUCAUUUCUUCUUCAUGACAUCUCAUAUGGAUUCAUCAGAAUUUAAGGGGACGCUAUCUUGGGGCUCCAAGUUGAUAGUUUUACUCCAUAAAAUGGAUAAUUUUUCAAGAGCUCUUGAUGAAAAUAUGUUGUGUUUAGCUAGACGAGUUGAUCUCCAUUGAGACAUUGUACCUCUCAUUUUUAUUCGGAUACUGAAAUUAAGAAGUGCCAGUCUUCAAUUACUGCGUUUAAUUCAGGAAACACUAAAAAUAUAACAAAUGGAAAAUGAACUAAAAAAAAUAUCAACACAUCCAUUGAAUACUACUUGAUGCCAAUGAUAAACACUGACAUUUGAAUAUAAUCAAAGAAAUUAACUGAAAAUGAAAUGUCUAAAUAUUUACAAUUUUUUUUUAUUGAUUAGGGACGAGAAAACCAGGAUAAUUAGAUAGAAAUAUCUUAUUCUUUCUAUUAUAAUAGUUAUACGAUGUAUUACAUUUUUUUAAUACAUUUUAAAGUCAGAUAUAUAAUAAAACUAGGCAACAGAGAAACAGUAAGGUUAAAGUCCUUUUAUUUUUUGAUUCCAUGAUGACAUCCAUUAGUUCACUAUUUUCCUUAAUAUUAAUAAAAAAAGUGUUUUUUAUUGUUAUAAAACUUGGAUUAUUAUGCCCUUAAAAUGGCCGAUAUCAACAAUACUGACGUAGCGUAAUAAUGUUCAAUAGGAGCUGAGUAGUUCCAUGAUAAAAACUCCAUAUUGCCAUUGAGAAACAGACUCAGAUAGAGUUCACAUUGCCUAUUCACAGCUCCUUCAUUGAAACUUAUGAGUCAAUUCAUCCUAUAAUCAACUCUGCUUCGUCUCCUACUCUAUAGGAGUUCUUCGGUGUCAUUGAAGUACAUAACGAACUAAUCACUCAUCUCCAUAGCCUAACAAUGGAUAUUACUUCAAUUUAGAAUAAAUAAUUAUACAUCCUGGACACUUCCAACCUCACUCCUGUCUUCCUUAUUAUUUAUCUUUUGUCAUUAGUUGUCUGCAAAUUAUACUCUAUUCUGCAAUUAUAUAGAUAAAUGUUAAGUAAGAAUGUGAUUAAAAAAGUUACAAUUGA